AUUGAACGCUGGCGGCAGGCCUAACACAUGCAAGUCGAACGGUAACAGGAAGAAGCUUGCUUCUUUGCUGACGAGUGGCGGACGGGUGAGUAAUGUCUGGGAAACUGCCUGAUGGCGGGGGAUAACUACUGGAAACGGUAGCUAAUACCGCAUAACGUCGCAAGACCAAAGAGGGGGACCUUCGGGCCUCUUGCCAUCGGAUGUGCCCAGAUGGGAUUAGCUAGUAGGUGGGGUAACGGCUCACCUAGGCGACGAUCCCUAGCUGGUCUGAGAGGAUGACCAGCCACACUGGAACUGAGACACGGUCCAGACUCCUACGGGAGGCAGCAGUGGGGAAUAUUGCACAAUGGGCGCAAGCCUGAUGCAGCCAUGCCGCGUGUAUGAAGAAGGCCUUCGGGUUGUAAAGUACUUUCAGCGGGGAGGAAGAGAGUAAAGUUAAUACCUUUGCUCAUUGAUGGUACCCGAAGAAGAAGCACCGGCUAACUCCGUG
rnacentral:rRNA from 1 species